rnacentral:snoRNA from 1 species
UUUAGAAAUGAUGAUGACAUAUAUCGAAAAUACCAGAUGCUUUUUGCAACUGUUGAAUCAAUAUAUUUGCACGUCAGUCUGAUUCUAUU